GACGAACGCUGGCGGCGUGCUUAACACAUGCAAGUCGAACGGAAAGGCCCUGCUUUUGUGGGGUGCUCGAGUGGCGAACGGGUGAGUAACACGUGAGUAACCUGCCCUUGACUUUGGGAUAACUUCAGGAAACUGGGGCUAAUACCGUAUAGGAGCUCCUGCUGCAUGGUGGGGGUUGGAAAGUUUCGGCGGUUGGGGAUGGACUGGCGGCUUAUCAGCUUGUUGGUGGGGUAGUGGCUGACCAAGGCUUUGACGGGUAGCCGGCCUGAGAGGGUGACCGGCCACAUUGGGACUGAGAUACGGCCCAGACUGCUACGGGAGGCAGCAGUGGGGAAUAUUGCACAAUGGGCGGAAGCCUGAUGCAGCAACGCCGCGUGCGGGAUGACGGCCUUCGGGUGAUAAACCGCUUUCGCCUGUGACGAAGCGUGAGUGACGGUAAUGGGUAAAGAAGCAACGGCUAACUACGUG
rnacentral:rRNA from 1 species